rnacentral:rRNA from 1 species
UACAGAGGGUGCGAGCGUUAAUCGGGAUUACGGGGCGUAAAGCGCACGUAGGUGGCGACGUAAGUCGGGUGUGAAAGCCCCGGGUUCAACCUGGGAAUUGCAUUCGAGACUGCAUUGCUGGAGUACGGAAGAGGAGGGCGGAAUUCCCGGUGUAGCGGUGAAAUGCGUAGAUAUCGGGAGGAACAUCAGUGGCGAAGGCGGCCCUCUGGUCCAGUACUGACACUCAAGUGCGAAAGCGUGGGGAGCAAACAGG